rnacentral:rRNA from 1 species
AUGGACAAAUCCAUCCCUUUUUCCCGUGCAUAUGCAUCGGACUCGGAUGACGAUGGUCCCGAUGAAGAAGUUGAUGGGGAGGGGUUCACGCCGAAGGAGGCCCAAGAAUUUAAGAAGGUAUUCGGGCGGGAUCACAAGACACCGUUGUUUAAGGAUCUUAGUCUCGCGGAUGAAGCCGUUGUGGAUGGUGAUAAAUGUAUAUCUCUUGGAAGUAGGCCAAGUUCUCACCGUGAUUUGGAAGACGGCAAGAACGGGAUAUUUCCCGGUUGUGAGUUUGAUUCCUUCUUGGAAUUGAAGAUGUGGCUCGACAACUACUCGAUUACGCAUUAUCGUCCACAUAGAGUGGCUAACGACGUCAAUGUGCGUUACACGGUUAAAUGUGAAGUGCCAAGAUGUCCAUAG